rnacentral:misc_RNA from 1 species
GGAAGUAAAAGUCGUAACAAGAUUUCCGUAGGUGAACCUGCGGAAGGAUCAUUAAAGUUAUAGUCCCCCGGCCCCUCCGGGCUGGGGUCUUCUAUACCACCCUUUGUUUAUUACACCUUUGUUGCUUUGGCAGGCCUGCCCUCGGGCUGCUGGCUCCGGCCGGCUCGUGCCUGCCAGAGGACCCAAACUCUGUUUGUAUAUGAAGUCUGAGUACUAUAUAAUAGUUAAAACUUUCAACAACGGAUCUCUUGGUUCUG